rnacentral:tmRNA from 1 species
GGGGGUGUUCUGGAUUCGACCUUGUGUCGUAGUGCGAGGCUGCAUGCCGGAGAUGAUGGAGGCUCCGUAUCAAUCCAUUACAAAACACAAUUGGCGAAGAACAAUUCGCUCUUGCGGCUUAAAGCUGCAACGUUUCUACCCAGACACCUGCUAAGGAAUAGAAGCGUCGACUAGCAGGCCAUAACAGAUGAGAGUGCUCUCGAUCAUCAGUUGUAUUUAGGGAGCUUGGAAUUUGAAUAGCCCGCUAAGAGGCGAUUCGAGGACGACAAUAAAUUCAUAGCUAAGCAUGUAGAUGCCACGUAUGAAAGCACGAGGGACGCGGGUUCGACUCCCGCCACCUCCAC